GAUGAAGAACGUAGCGAAAUGCGAUACUUGGUGUGAAUUGCAGAAUCCCGUGAACCAUCGAGUCUUUGAACGCAAGUUGCGCCUCAAGCCAUGAGGUUGAGGGCACGUCUGCCUGGGCGUCACAUAUCGUUGCCUGAUGCCAGUUUCCUCGUGAUGGGUGACUGUGCAGGGCGAAUGAUGGCUUCCCGUGAGCAUUGUUGCCUCAUGGUUGGUUGAAAAUUGAGUCCUUGGUAGGGAGCGCCGUGAUAGAUGGUGGUUGAGUGACGAACGAGACCCAAUCAUGUGAGACCCCUACCGAAUUUGGCCUUCAUGACCCACAUGCGUCUUUGGAACGCUCAUGACGAGACCUCAGGUCAGGCGGGGCUACCCGCUGAGUUUAAGCAUAUCAAUAAGCGGAGGA
rnacentral:misc_RNA from 1 species